UGGGGAAUAUUGGGCAAUGGGCGAAAGCCUGACCCAGCAACGCCGCGUGAAGUAUGAAGGCCUUCGGGUUGUAAACUUCUUUGAUCAGGGAAGAAACAAAUGACGGUACCUGAAAAACAAGCCACGGCUAACUACGUGCCAGCAGCCGCGGUAAUACGUAUGGGGCGAGCGUUGUCCGGAAUUAUUGGGCGUAAAGGGUACGUAGGCGGUUUUUUAAGUCAGGUGUCAAAGCGUGGAGCUUAACUCCAUUAAGCACUUGAAACUGAAAGACUUGAGUGAAGGAGAGGAAAGUGGAAUUCCUAGUGUAGCGGUGAAAUGCGUAGAUAUUAGGAGGAAUACCGGUGGCGAAGGCGACUUUCUGGACUUUUACUGACGCUCAGGUACGAAAGCGUGGGGAGCAAACAGG
rnacentral:rRNA from 1 species